rnacentral:rRNA from 1 species
GACGAACGCUGGCGGCGUGCUUAACACAUGCAAGUCGAACGGGCUGCCUGGGUUUCGGAUCGGGUGUUGAGUGGCGAACGGGUGAGUAACACGUGAGUAACCUGCCCCUCUCUUUGGGAUAACGUCAGGAAACCGGCGCUAAUACCGGGUAUUCUCCCUUCCUCCCAGGGGGUGGUUGGGAAAGUUCUGUUCUUGUGGGGGGUGGGCGCGCGGCCUAUCAGCUUGGUGGUGGGGUGAUGGCCUACCAAGGAGGCGACUGGUAGCCGGCGUGAGGGGGUGGAGGGGCACAGUGGGACUGGGACACGGGACAGAGUCCUAAGGGAGGCAGGAGUGGGGAGUAGUGAACAAUGGGCGGAAGGCUGAUGCAGGGAGGAGGAGUGGGGGAUGAGGGAUUUCGGGUUGUGAAUCGCAUUCAGUGAAGAACAAGGAUGUUUGUGGGUUGAGGGUAGGCGGAGAAGAAGCGCCGGCUAACUACGUG